rnacentral:lncRNA from 1 species
CUAAGUGGGAUUAUACUGGGUUGUUGUUGUUGUUGUUGUUGUUGUCUAUUGAUAGUACUAAUAUAUCGUCUCUUGUUACUUUCUUGAGCCGAGGGUCUCCUGGAAAUAGACUCUCUGCCCCUCGGGGUAGGGAUAAGGUCUGCGUACAUAUUACCCUCUCCAGACCCCUCUUGUGGGAUUAUACUGGGCCGUUGUUGUUGUUGUUAUAU